AACGCACGAGACCUGCGGACCUGCGGAAGGAUCACUACCGAGUUUACAACUCCCAAACCCAAUGUGAACGUUACCAAACUGUUGCCUCGGCGGGAUCUCUGCCCCGGGUGCGUCGCAGCCCCGGACCAAGGCGCCCGCCGGAGGACCAACCAAAACUCUUAUUGUAUACCCCCUCGCGGGUUUUUUUAUAAUCUGAGCCUUCUCGGCGCCUCUCGUAGGCGUUUCGAAAAUGAAUCAAAA
rnacentral:misc_RNA from 1 species